AUUGAACGCUGGCGGCAUGCCUUACACAUGCAAGUCGAACGGCAGCACGGGAGCAAUCCUGGUGGCGAGUGGCGAACGGGUGAGUAAUAUAUCGGAACGUGCCCGGUCGUGGGGGAUAACGUAGCGAAAGCUACGCUAAUACCGCAUACGAUCUACGGAUGAAAGCGGGGGAUCGCAAGACCUCGCGCGAUUGGAGCGGCCGAUAUCAGAUUAGGUAGUUGGUGAGGUAAAGGCUCACCAAGCUGACGAUCUGUAGCUGGUCUGAGAGGACGACCAGCCACACUGGGACUGAGACACGGCCCAGACUCCUACGGGAGGCAGCAGUGGGGAAUAUUGGACAAUGGGCGAAAGCCUGAUCCAGCCAUGCCGCGUGUGUGAAGAAGGUCUUCGGAUUGUAAAGCACUUUAAGUUGGGUAGGAAGGGUAGUAACC
rnacentral:rRNA from 1 species